AUUGAACGCUGGCGGCAGGCCUAACACAUGCAAGUCGAGCGGAGCGUCGGACGGGUGAGUAAUGCCUAGGCAUCUGCCUGGUAGUGGUGGAUAACGUCCGGAAACGGGCGCUAAUACCGCAUACUAUCAGAUGAGCCUAGGUCGGAUUAGCUAGUUGGUGGGUUAAAGGCAUACCAAGGCGACGAUACGUAACUGGUCUGAGAGGAUGAUCAGUCACACGGGAACUGAGAAACGGCCCAGACUCCUAGGGAAGGAAGAAGUGGGGAAUAUUGGACAAUGGGCGAAGGCCUGAGCCAGACAUGCCGGGUGUGUGAAGAAGGUCUUCGGAUGGUAAAGCACGUUAAGUGGGGAGGCGGUACCAACAGAAUAAGCAACGGCUAACUUCGUGCCAGCAGCCGCGGUAAUUC
rnacentral:rRNA from 1 species